rnacentral:rRNA from 1 species
CCUACGGGUGGCAGCAGUGAGGAAUAUUGGUCAAUGGGCGCGAGCCUGAACCAGCCAAGUCGCGUGAGGGAAGACGGUCCUAUGGAUUGUAAACCUCUUUUGUCGGGGAGCAAAAGACGCCACGCGUGCGAUCCGAGAGUACCCGAAGAAAAAGCAACGGCUAACUCCGUGCCAGCAGCCGCGGUAAUACGGAGGAUGCGAGCGUUAUCCGGAUUUAGUGGGUUUAAAGGGGGCGCAGGCGGAAGAUCAAGUCCGCGGUAAAAGUGAGCGGCUCAACCUCUUCGAGCCGUUUAAACUUGUUUUCUUUAGUGAGCGAGAAGUAGGCGGAAGGUGUGGUGUAGCGGUGAAAUGCAUAGAUUUCACGCAGAACUCCGAUUGCGAAGGCAGCAUACCGGCGCUCAACUGACGCUCAUGCACGAAAGUGUGGGUAUCGAACAGGAUUAGAUACCCUGGUAGUC